rnacentral:tmRNA from 1 species
GGGGCUGACUUGGAUUUCGACAGAUUUCUUGUCGCACAGAUAGCAUGCCAAGUGCUGCUUGUAAAACAGUAACAAAAAUAACUGUAAACAACACAGAUUACGCUCCAGCUUACGCUAAAGCUGCGUGAGUUAAUCUCCUUUUGGAGCUGGACUGAUUAGAAUUUCUAGCGUUUUAAUCACUCCAUAACCUUAAGCUAGACGCUUUUAAAAGGUGGUUCGCCUUUUAGACUAAGAAACAAGAACUCUUGAAACUAUCUCAAGGUUUUAGAAAGUUGGACCAGAGCUAGUUUUAAGGCUAAAAACUAACCAAUUUUCUAAGCAUUGUAGAAGUUUGUGUUUAGGGCAAGAUUUUUGGACUGGGGUUCGAUUCCCCACAGCUCCACCA